UUCUGAGGGAAGCCAGGUUGUUAAAACUGUGAUUCCCUUUACUCAACAAUAACAAGGAUGAUCUAGUCUGAAAGGGAAAGCACGCCCUUAAGACAUCCUGUGACCGAACGGAAUCGACAGUUCACUUGAGCCUUAAAGAACAACUGAAUGAGUGUCUUUGGGGAGAUGCCUAGGAUCUAACGGUGAUGACUGCUUUGCGACAGGAGAUGUACCUGAGUUGUGUUAUUUCAUCCUCACAGUGACCUCCCAAGGUAUUUCUAUUACUACCUUUAUCCCACUCUUCUUUAUUAUCUGAAAGUACUUUCAGAGAAUCAAGUGCUACAGAAUUGAAUGCUGUAAUAUCAUUAUUAUUUUUCCCAACUUUAUUAUUUAUGUCAAGACAUGGCAUCUGGUCCCAUCACUUCAUGGGAAAUAGAUGGGGAAAC
rnacentral:lncRNA from 1 species